AGGUCGCACAGCUAGUUAGCAGCAAGACCA
rnacentral:piRNA from 1 species